rnacentral:rRNA from 1 species
GACGAACGCUGGCGGCGUGCUUAACACAUGCAAGUCGAACGGAAAGGCCCCUUUGGGGGUACUCGAGUGGCGAACGGGUGAGUAACACGUGAGUAACCUGCCCUUGACUUCGGGAUAACUUCAGGAAACUGGGGCUAAUACCGGAUAGGAAUCCUUGCUGCAUGGUGGGGGUUGGAAAGCUUCGGCGGUUUUGGAUGGACUCGCGGCUUAUCAGCUUGUUGGUGGGGUAGUGGCUUACCAAGGCUUUGACGGGUAGCCGGCCUGAGAGGGCGACCGGCCACAUUGGGACUGAGAUACGGCCCAGACUCCUACGGGAGGCAGCAGGGGGGAAUAUUGCACAAUGGGCGGAAGCCUGAUGCAGCAACGCCGCGGGCGGGAGGACGGCCUUCGGGUUGUAAACCGCGUUCAGCAGGGGCGAAGCUUGUGGUGACGGUACCUGCAGAAGAAGCACCGGCUAACUACGUG